rnacentral:rRNA from 1 species
AAUAUUGCACAAUGGGCGCAAGCCUGAUGCAGCCAUGCCGCGUGAGUGAAGAAGGCCUUAGGGUUGUAAAACUCUUUCACCGGUGAAGAUAAUGACGGUAGCCGGAGAAGAAGCCCCGGCCAACUCCGUGCCAGCAGCCGCGGUAAUACGGAGGGGGCUAGCGUUGUUCGGAAUUACUGGGCGUAAAGCGCGCGUAGGCGGGCUGGUCAGUUGGGGGUGAAAUCCCGGGGCUUAACCUCGGAACUGCCCUCAAUACUACCAGUCUAGAGAUCGAGAGAGGUAAGUGGAAUUCCUAGUGUAGAGGUGAAAUUCGUAGAUAUUAGGAAGAACACCAGUGGCGAAGGCGGCUUACUGGCUCGAUACUGACGCUGAGGCGCGAAAGCGUGGGGAGCAAACAGGAUUAGAUACCCUGGUAGUCCACACCGUA